rnacentral:rRNA from 1 species
CCUACGGGUGACAGCAGUGGGGGAUAUUGCACAAUGGGGGGAACCCUGAUGCAGCGACGCCGCGUGGGUGAAGGAGCGUUUCGGCGCGUAAAGCCCUAUCGGCAGGGAAGAAGAUGACGGUACCUGGCCAAGAAGCCCCGGCUAACGACGGGCCAGCAGCCGCGGUAAUACGUAGGGGGCAAGCGUUAUCCGGAUUUACUGGGGGUAAAGGGGGCGCAGACGGCACUGCAAGCCAGGAGUGAAAGCCGGGGGCCCAACCCCGGGACUGCUCUUGGAACUGCAUGGCUUGAGUACAGGAGGGGCAGGCGGAAUGCGUAGUGUAGCGGUGAAAUGCGUAGAUAUUAGGAGGAACACCGGUGGCGAAGGCGGCCUGCUGGACUGUGACUGACGUUGAGGCCCGAAGGCGUGGGGAGCAAACAGGAUUAGAUACCCGUGUAGUC